ACCUCAGCCUCCCAAAGUGCUGGGAUUAUAGACAUGUGCCACAGUUCUUGGCCAAAAUAUUAUUUCAACAUGUGACGACACAAAACAUGAUUGAGGUUUUUUUACAUUCCUUUCUUCAUGCUGAAUCUUCAGUAACCAGCAUGCACUUGACAUUUAACAGUUCUCGAUUCACAGCGGCCACCAAGUGCUCGGCAGCCCUCCGCAGCUGCCUUACAGGGCCACACAGGCUCAGGGAGAGGGGAACGACCAGGGCUCUGCAGGCAGGACACCUGGGUCAGACCCUGGCUGUGCUGCUUACCCACUGUAUGACCCUAAGCAAAGCUACCUGACCUCUCUCUGUUAACAGCUUCUUCACCUGAAACUGAUGUAAGAGGUCACUAAUGUUAGCCACCUCAUGAGGUCACAGGGUUUUCAGAAAGGAACCCUCAGGCAGUGCCUGGUACACAGGUGUUGGGUGAAUGCUGGCAAGCCCUCAGGUACACACUCCCUGCCCUCGCAGAGUCUGGAAGGCAAUGGUUUCAGGAGCACAGGCCCUAGCCCCUCUCUUCUCCAUAGCCUCCCUACCUCCUGGCUGGCUCUGCAGUAUUCUGCACGUGGCUCAUUCUCUCUGAUGGACCAGAAAGUACUUCAAAACUGUCCAGUGUUUCAAGAGCCUCACCAUGCUAACCCAAUUCUCCUUUCAAUAAACAGACCUUAGUUGUGCAGCGUGAGUCGUGUGAGUACAGACACUGAGACUGUGGAUGGGUGGGAGAACUGGGGAGAUUCUCACAUCACUGCAGACCUCCUCAGUGCCUCACAGAGGGCUCAUCUGGACUGGGCUCUUCUGCAUUCCUGUCUUUCACAGCUCAACACCUGGCUAUCUGGCAGCCCUGACCUCUGUUCAUAUUCUGAUUGCAAAUGCGCCUUGCUCAAAUCCUCUUGGGUGUUGAGACCAAACCGUUUAUCACUCCCUUUCCUCCCCCUGCCCAGGGAUGCCUUGGAGUCAUUCUUGGGCUUUCUUCUCUUUUGUUCUCUAUGAAGUCUUGGUUUUACAGCUCUGCCUUUGCCUUUUUAUUUUCAUGGCCACCCCUGCAGGCACCACCUGAGGAGUGCUGAGAUGCCCCCACUGCUUCCAAGCUGGUCUGGUCUGUGUUCCUGUUCCAAUCCAGCUGGCAUGCUGCCACCACACUCUCCUGAAAUGAUCUUUUCAUCAUUUCUGCUCAAGAUUCUUUAAGGACUCCUUUAAGAACUACUACAAAAUAAGGAGGCUGGGUUAGAUCAUUUUUAAGAUCACUUCUACUUCUAAAGCUGUGUGCCUCAACUUUCUACCUAGCUCUGGAGGGCCUGGGACUUAUGAAAGGAAAAUAAAAUCUCGGGACCCUAAACGCAUUAUGCCAAGGGGAAAAGUUAAGCUUGGAAACUGAGUUGCACAAGAGCUGCCUUCCUAUUGUUCCUAAAGAGAUGGCUGCAAAGACAGAAACCAUUUAUCUCCCCAGGUGGCCUCCCUCACUCAUUGCUCACAAGGAGAUUCCUUGUGGGCCCUAAAACCUUUACCCUGAAACAAAGUUCUGCUGGAUCUCACCCUGACAAUGUAAGUUAACAGCUUAUCUCACAGGAAUGGACAAAGACCAGACCAGAAAUCAUCCCUCUGCCAACCUGAGACAAAUGUGUAUUUGACUCUUUCUUCUACUCUAUGUUUACUUUAUUGCAUGUAAAAUGAGGAUUUACUGAACAAGAGAUGCAUGCGUAACUGACAUCCCUCUACUCCUCCUUUCACAUGUCACAUGUGGAUUCAAUGGGCAAAAAUCAAGAAUGCGACCACUCACCUUCACCACCUACCCUCCCCUUUUCUCCCUUCCUCCUUCCCUUCCUGCCACUCUUUCCCCUUUAAAUAUUCAAGCCCUCGAAGCUCUCUCUGGAAAAAGCAGGGACCACAGAUCCCCUGUAACUGGUGUUUCUUUUUCCCUGGGUACAUCCUCAACCUUGACGAAACAAACCUCUAAGCUGACAGAGAUCUGUCUCAGCCACUCUUGGGUCUACAGGGUCCACCACCUGCAAGUGCAGCAGGCUCAGGGCUGCCCCCGGGCUCCACGCCGCACACUCUUCCUUCCCCUUCCUUCAGCUCUAUGACCUGCUCAUCCUUCUGGGUACCUCGGCCCUAUCUCCUGCAGAGCCGUCCUGGACCACUCUGCCCAUGCUGGCCUUUUCUUCCUCAGAGCCCUGCUGCAUGCUUUCCAGUGUUUUGGGGAUGCUGGUGCUCACUCAUUUCACUGCACACUUUUGUGCACCGACAGCAUGGAUUCUUCUGAAGUCUAACAUAGGGGUUAUAGUCGGCUUCUUGAAGACUUGCUGAUUGAACAGCAUAAUCUUAGUGAAGCUGCCUUUGCAAAAUUAUAACAGCAAGAGAAAUUUGGCAUGGCUGACUCCAUCUUGCUUCUAGCCUCACACACUGUCCUCACUUGUUCCCGGGUGUGGGCCAAGCUAGCUUCGGGAGGAAUUUAUAGUUUAAAUGAUAAUAGCACUUCCCCAAAACUAAACUACCCUUGUAAAACUAAUGAAAGGCCACCAAAUUAGGAGGAUAAGAGGAGACUGCAUUCUACUAAGAUGUAGGCAUGGUUAAAUAAUUACCAGCCAUUAUUAUGGAGGUCAGAUUUGCAACUUCCCCAAUUACUCCUACAGAUAACAUCUACUGUAAAACUUAGGCUUGGCCUUUUGCGAUAGCUUUUCAGCUUUUUGCAUUUCUGACAACCAAUGGCUCCACCUGGACUUACCAACUGGUCCUGUGGCCCCACUCAGAAACUGACUCAGCACAGGAGGAUAGCUUCCAUGCCCUAUGAUUUCACCUCUGCCCCAACCAACCAGCCAGCAUUCCUCACUCCCUGGCCCUUACCUGCCAAACUAUCCUUGAAAAACCCUGGUCUCCAAGGAGACCGAUUUGAGUAAUAAUAAAACUCCAGGCUGCCAUUCAGCCAGCUCUGCAUGAAUUAAGCUCUUUCUCUACUGCAAUUCCCCUGUCUUGAGAAACUGGCUGUACCUGGGCAGCAGGCAAAAUAAAUCUAUUAGGCAGUUGUGUCAAUCCCUUAUAAAAGGCUUUUACAUUUGUGUUUUUCUCAUUACAGUAUAGAAUAUUCAAAGUUUUUUUUAAUUCUAAUUUUUUUCACAUGGACUCUGGAAAAUUAAGAAGUUACCAAAUGCAAGAAAUCCACUGAGUUCAGAAAGGGUCCCUUCCUUUUGUAGGUGCUAUCAAAUGAGGUACAACAACGACAAACACAAUGCUUUCUUGUGGAAGUUCAUGAGCAAGCCACAAGCAAGGAGUGUAGCUUGCUUCUUGAGUGACUGCAGCGAGCAUCUGCUCACCCAUGCACUGGCUGCCUAGUGCAGCUACCCUGCUUCACCUUUAAAAGCGGGUCUGCGUGCUCCAGAUACCAGCCGGCAACCGCAUGGCCUGCUUCGUGGUAUGCCACAGUCUUCUUCUCCUCAGGCUGCAGAACCUGCGUUUUCUUCUCUAAGCCUAACAAAAUAACAACAAAAAAACCCAAGCCAUUGUUACAGUGACACUGACAUUAAAAGACAGUUAUACAGUGCUA